UCGUCGCCUCCCUGGUGCCGUUUCCCAGGCGGAAGCCCUUGGACCGGACCCAGAACUGGAACUUGCCUUUCUCCCCCCCACCGGAGCCGCCGCCGGAGCCGGAUCCCCCCUGCAGCACCUCGGCGAUGCGCUGGAGAAAGAAGAAAAACCCCGAACAGGAGACCCCAGGUUUGCAGGCUGGGCUGUGUGACGUGGGACAAGCUGUCACCAAGGCAGAGGAGACGGGAUGUGCUCUGCAAGCUGGAGCUCUGGUUAUGUGUGUGGCAGAGGACAAGGAGGGAAGUAAUGUGAACCAAAAAUAGUCUGACAGUUUGGGAAGUGAAACUGUGUUCCUGUGACCGCUCACUUGUGUGUGUGCUGGGCAGUGAGUUGUCUUGCUCCCCAGCCCAGAGCAGUGGGUUAUCUCCCUUCCCCCAGGUGUGACACAUCCCUGCAGCACAUCUGCUGGGGCUGUAGCCCCCUUAUCCCACUGUCCCCCUUAUCCCACUCUUCCCCCAUCCCAUCGAGCUCCUUUGAAACCCUUGCUACAGUUGUGCUCCAGCAGCAUCUGCAGCUGCAAACAUCUGGACAGGGCUUUCCUGUGAGCCCGUUUAUGCUGCUCAGAGGUUGGGGAAAUGCUCUGGGCUCUGAGGAAUCCCCGCUGCCCCUGCAACACCUCUGGGCACAGCUGGCUCAGGAGGGGAGAGCGGGUCCUGACCAGGGCGGGCAGAUCCCUUCCUUUCAGAAGGGAACUGGGAGGUGACGUCUGACCUUUAGCUUAAAACAUUUAAAUGCAAGUGCCCAAAGGCUGGCUGGUGGGGAAGGGCAAAGGCAGCAGAGCCCCCGUGCCUGGGGAGGGCUGUCUGUGCACUGGGACAGCCAGGACAAACUGGAUUAAAUUUUUGGUGUGCUGGUAGGCACGAGGGCCCUUGUGACCGUAUUUUGGGUGGGAUUUAGUGGACUCAGGCUGAAUCCUGGAAACCCAUGCAGCAGUGGGAUAAUGAAAUAUCGCCUGGUUUUCAGGCUGGCCAUAUCCCACCUCCUAAUACUCCAAAUGCUUUGACACAGCUGUUAAUCAGCAGUAGAUGCCCAUCCCUGUGGCUCAUCCGUCCCUGUCCCUGCCCGGCUGUGUGCCCAGUGUGCUCUGUGCUGCGGGUGCUGCCCACAGAGAUCCUGCUGCUCGUGGCCUCCCUGGGCAGGUUCCCCAUGCCAUGGGUCUCCAAGGGCUCGUUACCAGCAGAGCCGCAGUCUCCCUGCAGCAUCACCCUGGGAGGUGCUGAGCACCAGCGGGCUCGUUACCCGUAACAGGCCGAGAUGUCUGCGGGACACUGCUGCUGUCGUUCAGCUCGUGUGUCGACAGCAGCUGAGCGAGCACUGGGGCGAUUUCUGUUGAUUUUAUUUGCGAGAUCUGUGGUUGUUUUUUUGCCCAAUUUCCUAGAAUUUCCCUAGUGAUGCUGAAGUCUGGUCUGGUCCCAGAAUAAGGCAGAUUCUGUGUCGUCCUGGGGCUGAACGGGUUAAUUUUUGUGCUUCUCUCCCCAGCUCGCUGUGGACUCUGGCUGGGACAGAACAUCUGUCUGUUGCUAUGGCUGCGGUACACUUGAAGGGGAUGACUGGAUAAUUAUUGCAAACAUCCAUCCUGCCUGAUGUGCUCCCCGACCCUCCCUGCCCAAACGCUGGGAGAGCAGCGGCGGUUCGGGGCACAACUUCAGUCACAGGGAUCCCACCUGGGGAUGGUGCGUUGGCAACACCUUUUCAUUUGCAUAAUUAAUGAGGCCGAGGCUGCAGGGCUCCUGGGAAAUCCAACGCAGAGCAGCAGCGAUGAAAUGGCACGAAGGGCUCCAGCCUUCUCCCUGGCUCGUUAGAGCUCUGCUCACUGAUAACACCCCGCCUUGGCGCUACAGGGGAGUUGUUCUCCCGUUAAUUUACCACCCACUUCUAUCUGAACAGCUUGCUCUGGGCCCAAUCCUGCAAUACCUCCUGCCAGGCGCAGGCCCCAGACCUGUCUGCGGAUGAGCAGGAUGUGGCUGGUGCAACGCUGGGGCAUCCCGGUGUGCAAACCCCGUCACCUGCAGGGCCAUCACAAGGUCAUGGCAUGGACCCAGGGCUUUCCCAGCUUCUCGCCCCCAGGUCGGCUGCUGCCGGCAGCGCUGCCAGAACUCCUGCCUGUGCUGCUGCCACCUGCACCUCGGUGCCUCGCUGGAUCGAGCUGUGCAGGCUGCUCGCCCCUCCAGCGCCCGGGUACCAUCCUGUGUGUGCAGCCGCGGUGCCAGCGCCGUGACCGGCCGGUACAACCUCAGGUUAAGAAAUCCAAGUGGAGCUGUGACCACGAUGAGCACAGACCUCUGCAUCGCUGGAAGGACCCUCUGCUGGGGCAGAAGCCCAGGUAAGCUGUGCAGGACAAGGCUGCCCCUCACUUUUCCUGUUAUCUGUAACACUAGCAAUAAAUAAGAUUUUCAUACAGCACAUCUACAGAGCACCCCACAAGUGCUGGUGGGAGCAGAGCGGUCCCAAGCCUGUGCUGGAGGUGGGUGGCAGGUGGGGGCUGGGCUGGGUGAUGGGACUGUCCGGCAGACACAGCUGGCUCUUUAAAUGAGGAAGGAGGAUGGCACAGAGACCUGAGAGCUGUGGGCUGUUCCCAGGUCCUGUUUGAUCCUUAUCAUCCCUACAUUUUUGUGUAUGAUUCAAUAAACUCCUUUGCUUGCACAACUGACUUGAUCUCAUGGCAUGACUCAGGUGCAAAUGAUCUAUUCACAUAUCACUAG